rnacentral:tRNA from 1 species
AGCAAUGUGGCGCAGCGGAAGCGCGCCGGGCUCAUAACCCGGAGGUCCCCAGAUCGAAACUAGGCAUUGCUA